UACGUAGGGUGCGAGCGUUAAUCGGAAUUACUGGGCGUAAAGCGUGCGUAGACGGUUAUGUAAGUCGGGUGUGAAAGCCCCGGGCUCAACCUGGGAAUUGCAUUCGAGACUGCAUAGCUAGGGUGCGGAAGAGGGAAGCGGAAUUUCCGGUGUAGCGGUGAAAUGCGUAGAUAUCGGAAGGAACACCAGUGGCGAAGGCGGCUUCCUGGUCCAGCACCGACGUUCAGGCACGAAAGCGUGGGGAGCAAACAGG
rnacentral:rRNA from 1 species